rnacentral:rRNA from 1 species
UGCAAGUUCGAGCGGUAGAGAGAAGCUUGCUUCUCUUGAGAGCGGCGGACGGGUGAGUAAUGCCUAGGAAUCUGCCUGGUAGUGGGGGAUAACGUUCGGAAACGGACGCUAAUACCGCAUACGUCCUACGGGAGAAAGCAGGGGACCUUCGGGCCUUGCGCUAUCAGAUGAGCCUAGGUCGGAUUAGCUAGUUGGUGAGGUAAUGGCUCACCAAGGCGACGAUCCGUAACUGGUCUGAGAGGAUGAUCAGUCACACUGGAACUGAGACACGGUCCAGACUCCUACGGGAGGCAGCAGUGGGGAAUAUUGGACAAUGGGCGAAAGCCUGAUCCAGCCAUGCCGCGUGUGUGAAGAAGGCCUUCGGGUCGUAAAGUUCUGUUGUUAGGGAAGAACAAGUACCAGAGUAACUGCUGGUACCUUGACGGUACCUAACCAGAAAGCCACGGCUAACUACGUGCCAGCAGCCGCGGUAAU